GGGAAGCGUUAACUCUCAGGAGAGCCAUUAGCCCUGCCCAAGAGUAAAGAGGAAGCCUCCCCACCUCCUCCAGGUUCCUCCUUCCAACACUUCCCCCGGAAGCCUCUGCAGAGUCCAGUUUCCAGAACCACCGGCACUUUCCCACGUAAGGCUCGUGGUGCAGAGUGGACACAGAGGGCUCCGGUCUGGUAGAUUCCGCACCUGUUUAGUGUGGCCCCAGAGCGGGGCUGGGGCUGUGUAUUCUAUACACAGGAAGACACGGGUGGACUGAACUUUCUGAGCACCGAGGCCUGCUCUGGGAUGACAGGGUUCCAAUGGCAGGAACUGGGCUCUCGUAGAUGAGCCAGCUGAUUCUGGAGGCUAUCGAAGCCUGUGAAGAGGCUCUCACACAUCCUGAGAUAAAGUACCCAACCUCUCCUCCACACCAUGGGCCAAUUUGAAAAGAUCCUGCGAGCAAAAGGAAGAGAUCCUCAGAGGAGCAGAAGGCAAGAUAUGCAGCUCCUACCUGCGUGUUGUUAGAGAGAAAGAGACAGAGGCAGGAGGUGGCACAGCGGCCAGCACCAGCCCGGAUUGAAGCUGUCUUUCAGCAAUGGACAAGAGGCGACUUUGCCAUCAAACAGCCUCUUUGCAUUCUUCACCCAACUCAGCUUAGUGAUGGCCCCUGACACUUAGCUCUCUACGCUUUCCGGAAAUGAAGGCUCUUAAAUUUCUCUCCCUCUUGCAGUGCUAAAGUCUACCCCUGUGACCUCAUGAGCUCCUGUUGAAACUCGAAUUUGAGAUCCCACUCUGUAGUGAUGAUUAAAAAACAAAUCAGUGCUGCUCGCACUGACUGGUUUCCACUCA